rnacentral:rRNA from 1 species
AUGAACGCUAGCUACAGGCUUAACACAUGCAAGUCGAGGGGCAGCAUGAACUUAGCUUGCUAAGUUUGAUGGCGACCGGCGCACGGGUGAGUAACACGUAUCCAACCUGCCGAUGACUCGGGGAUAGCCUUUCGAAAGAAAGAUUAAUACCCGAUGGCAUAGUUCUUCCGCAUGGUAGAACUAUUAAAGAAUUUCGGUCAUCGAUGGGGAUGCGUUCCAUUAGGUUGUUGGCGGGGUAACGGCCCACCAAGCCUUCGAUGGAUAGGGGUUCUGAGAGGAAGGUCCCCCACAUUGGAACUGAGACACGGUCCAAACUCCUACGGGAGGCAGCAGUGAGGAAUAUUGGUCAAUGGACGAGAGUCUGAACCAGCCAAGUAGCGUGAAGGAUGACUGCCCUAUGGGUUGUAAACUUCUUUUAUACGGGAAUAAAGUGGGGCACGUGUGCCUUUUUGUAUGUACCGUAUGAAUAAGGAUCGGCUAACUCCGUGCCAGCAGCCGCGGUAAUACGGAGGAUCCGAGCGUUAUCCGGAUUUAUUGGGUUUAAAGGGAGCGUAGGCGGACGCUUAAGUCAGUUGUGAAAGUUUGCGGCUCAACCGUAAAAUUGCAGUUGAUACUGGGUGUCUUGAGUACAGUAGAGGCAGGCGGAAUUCGUGGUGUAGCGGUGAAAUGCUUAGAUAUCACGAAGAACUCCGAUUGCGAAGGCAGCCUACUGGACUGUAACUGACGCUGAUGCUCGAAAGUGUGGGUAUCAAACAGGAUUAGAUACCCUGGUAGUCCACACAGUAAACGAUGAAUACUCGCUGUUUGCGAUAUACAGUAAGCGGCCAAGCGAAAGCGUUAAGUAUUCCACCUGGGGAGUACGCCGGCAACGGUGAAACUCAAAGGAAUUGACGGGGGCCCGCACAAGCAGCGGAGCAUGUGGUUUAAUUCGAAGCAACGCGAAGAACCUUACCUGGUCUUGACAUCCUUCUGACCGGUCCUUAACCGGACUUUUCCUUCGGGACAGGAGUGACAGGUGGUGCAUGGUUGUCGUCAGCUCGUGUCGUGAGAUGUUGGGUUAAGUCCCGCAACGAGCGCAACCCUUAUCUUUAGUUACUAACAGGUCAUGCUGAGGACUCUAGAGAGACUGCCGUCGUAAGAUGUGAGGAAGGUGGGGAUGACGUCAAAUCAGCACGGCCCUUACGUCCGGGGCUACACACGUGUUACAAUGGGGGGUACAGAAGGCAGCUACACGGCGACGUGAUGCUAAUCCCUAAAGCCUCUCUCAGUUCGGAUUGGAGUCUGCAACCCGACUCCAUGAAGCUGGAUUCGCUAGUAAUCGCGCAUCAGCCACGGCGCGGUGAAUACGUUCCCGGGCCUUGUACACACCGCCCGUCAAGCCAUGAAAGCCGGGGGUACCUGAAGUGCGUAACCGCAAGGAGCGCCCUAGGGUAAAACUGGUGAUUGGGGCU